GUUGAAACACCGGUUCUUAUAUGAACACCAAAGUUAAGCAAUGCUGAGCCUGGUUAGAACUUAGAUGGGUGACUGCUUGGGAAUACCAGGUGCUAU